UGAAAAGGAGACCAAAGUGGAUCAUGAACUCUCCAAAUUCCCAAACAAGUUUGCUUGCUAAUGAGAUCGGGGGAUCCUAGCCCUUUUUUUGGACAACUUCCUACAGAGAUGCCUCUUUAGCUCACUCCAUGGCAGCUGUUUAAUGAAGUCAGGUCUUUCCUAAAGGGCUAUCUAAUGGAAUUCCCCAAUGUUAAUGGUGAAGGCUUAGUUGAGUCUACUUCUGGCCAUGAAUGACUAAGGAAACGGUAUUGUGUGAACCAGGAAGAGGAAGAAGCUGAAGUGAGAGUGGAAGAAACCUAGAGGUGGGACACCAGGAAACAAUCAGAAGGACAGCUCUACCAUCUAUUACAAUUGUGGAGACACUGGUUAUGUUCAGGUUGGAUGUACUCAUGAAGAAAAUGAAGCUUUGGUGCUAUGAAACUAAGGUCUGUUAAGACCAGCAGUAGGAGGAAAAGCAGGGUCCAGAGAAGGAACCAUCUCUGAAGAUUUAAAACAGUGAGGAUGAACUCAUCAUCGAUCAUCUAUGGAGUUAUGCCACCCAGAUUCAUAGGACCCUGAAUAAAGUUAACUGUGAUGACUGGGGGUGUGGCA
rnacentral:lncRNA from 1 species